rnacentral:rRNA from 1 species
AUUGAACGCUGGCGGCAGGCCUAACACAUGCAAGUCGAGCGGAAACGACAACAUUGAAUCUUCGGAGGAUUUGUUGGGCGUCGAGCGGCGGACGGGUGAGUAAUGCCUAGGAAAUUGCCUUGAUGUGGGGGAUAACCAUUGGAAACGAUGGCUAAUACCGCAUAAUGCCUACGGGCCAAAGAGGGGGACCUUCGGGCCUCUCGCGUCAAGAUAUGCCUAGGUGGGAUUAGCUAGUUGGUGAGGUAAUGGCUCACCAAGGCGACGAUCCCUAGCUGGUCUGAGAGGAUGAUCAGCCACACUGGAACUGAGACACGGUCCAGACUCCUACGGGAGGCAGCAGUGGGGAAUAUUGCACAAUGGGCGAAAGCCUGAUGCAGCCAUGCCGCGUGUAUGAAGAAGGCCUUCGGUUGUAAGUACUCUCAGUUGUGAGGAAGGGUGUGUAGUUAAUAGCUGCGCAUCUUGACGUUUAGCAAC